GGAUGUGAGGGCAAUCUGGCUGUGUUCAGUGGAUCUGGUUGGUGAGGCAGAUGUGCCCUUCCUCCCUCACUGCUCCCUGGGUAUCUCUUCCAAAGCUGCAUGCUCAGUCAAAGAGGACAACCUUCUCCGGAAGAGGAGGACCAUUCUUGAGUCCAGGAUAUAAGAGCCACUGUGUUACUGUGCUACAACUUCCAAACAUGCUCUCAAAGGUCUAGCCCACAAGUUUAUAAGGACAAGUUUUAUAUCUUAUACCUGAUGAUAGGCCACUUUGUGAUUGUCACUGUUCAUC
ensembl:misc_RNA 7SK 7SK RNA